rnacentral:rRNA from 1 species
UCAUAUGCUUGUCUUAAAGAUUAAGCCAUGCAUGUCUAAGUGCAAGCUCCGGCAAAGUGAAACCGCGAAUGGCUCAUUAAAUCAGUUAUGGUUCAUUCGAUAGAUGCCAUUUACAUGGAUAACCCUGGGAAAUCUAGAGCUAAUACAUGUCACCCGCUCCGACCUCACGGGACGAGCGCAUUUGUCAGACUAAAAACCAAUCGGGCUUCGGUCCGUUCAGUGGUGAACCAUGGCAAACCGUCACGCUGACCGCACGGUCUAGAACCGGCGGUGCGUCGUUCGAAUGUCUGCCUUAUCAACUGUCGAUGGUAGGUUAAGUGCCUACCAUGGUUAUAACGGGUAACGGGGAAUCAGGGUUCGAUUCCGGAGAGGGCGCCUGAGAAACGGCGACCACUUCUACGGAAGGCAGCAGGCACGCAAAUUACCCACUCCCGGCACGGGGAGGUAGUGACAAGAAAUAACAAUACGGGACUCUAAACGAGGCCCCGUAAUUGGAAUGAGUACACUUUAAAUCCUUUAACGAGGAUCUAUUGGAGGGCAAGUCUGGUGCCAGCAGCCGCGGUAAUUCCAGCUCCAAUAGCGUAUAUUAAAGUUGCUGCAGUUAAAAAGCUCGUAGUUGGAUCUGGCGUACNGGCUCGAGGUCCGCCGUUCGGCGGUUACUUCCCGUCCCGACGUACCUCUCGGAUUUCCCUCGGUGCUCUUAACUGA